rnacentral:rRNA from 1 species
GAUGAACGCUGGCGGCGUGCCUAAUACAUGCAAGUCGAGCGAACGGACGAGAAGCUUGCUUCUCUGAUGUUAGCGGCGGACGGGUGAGUAACACGUGGAUAACCUACCUAUAAGACUGGGAUAACUUCGGGAAACCGGAGCUAAUACCGGAUAAUAUUUUGAACCGCAUGGUUCAAAAGUGAAAGACGGUCUUGCUGUCACUUAUAGAUGGAUCCGCGCUGCAUUAGCUAGUUGGUAAGGUAACGGCUUACCAAGGCAACGAUGCAUAGCCGACCUGAGAGGGAGAACGGCCAACAUAGGAAUGAGACACGGUCCAAGCCCCUAAGGGAGGCAGCAGGAGGGAAUCUUCCGCAAUGGGCGAAAGCCUGGCGGAACAACGACGCGGGGGUGAAGAAGGUCUUCGGAUAGUAAAACCCUGUUAUUAGGGAAGAACAUAUGUGUAAGUAACAGUGCACAUCUGGACGGUACCUAAUCAGAAAGCCACGGCUAACUACGG